AUGACGUUUCGGACGUUUUUUUUUUCGAUACAUCGUAAGACUGGCCGUGGAAUGUGUAAACUGUCUGUAAAAAGGGUAUGUGCCAUUUUUAAUGCAAGAAAAUUACUAGACAACUUAAAAAACAAAGUUUGGAAGAUAUUCGAGAGUUUUGAAGCACAGGUAUCAAACCCAAAAUGAUGAGUUGAAAGUUAGAAGACGUCUUAUUUCAAAUUUCAAAAAAGAAGAAAAUUUACAAGAUUCGGCAAUACAAUAUAGUCAAAAAAUAAAGCUAAAGGAAAAUAAACUCGAUGAAUACGCGAAUACAAUUUCAGUAAAAGGUAAUACUAUCGUCUUUAACAAUAUUGUAUAUAUUCUCAUGCAUCUUAUAAGAGCAGAGUUAGAAAGAUAAUUAGUUGUACAAUCUGGGACUCAGAAAGUUAGUCCCCGUAAAGUACAUCUGAUUUUUUUUAAAGUAACUAUUAAUAUUAGGGACUCGAGGGUUCAUCCAGAGCUUUUCAAAUAUCAAAAACGGCUUGUGACGUCCCGAUGCAUUAAAUGUGAACCGGUUUUACUUGUUAAACUAACCUACAACUCUUUUAUCCAUGGAUUCUACGUUAUUUUAUGUGUGUGCUAGGUUACGCAUUUUGACCUUGUUCGCGUGACAUUCAGACUUUGAAUGCGUGUAAAUUUAUUUCUAAAUUUACGACGAAUACUCCAGAACACAUAUUCUCUUCUUCUCUUGCUCUUUAUAAACAGUUGGGCAAGACUACUAUGGCCAUCCGCCCAUUACCGACAUCCACCGAGGAUUUUUUUCUUUUGGUCACAGACCAACAGUUAACGAAACUAUUACCAACAUUUAUUCUCAGCUUCCAAUAUAGGACUUUGACUGAUAACAAAAAAAAAACGGCCUCCUCCGCGAACCAUCCAGGCCCAUCCGGCCUCCAUACCGGCGUGAACAGGAAAAAACCGAGGGGCCGACGUCGAUUACACCUUAAAAACACUCACUAGACACAAAAAACACUAAAUUCACUCGGUGGAAACCGAUUCCAUAAUUUUUGGGGACGAUUACAAAGGAUUCUGUCUGGAGCGAACGGUCACACUGUCAUUAAAAACUCCGGAUUCUUCAAAUCCCUCGAUAUGUUUAAAAUUAUACGUUUGGAUAUUAGUUCCGGCGGUAUCCUAUAUAAUUCAACAAUAGCAAAUGAACGAGGCACUUAAAAUAAUUGUUUGGGUCCUUUACCGCCACCUCU